ACAGCAUCUUUAACAGGUCUAGGCCUCAGUGCAGUAGGCCAAGAUUUGGUAGCUGGUGCUGACAGGUCUCUCCCUGUAACAUUCCAUUGAGUACUGCUGUCGUGGACACUCAAGGAGAAAAACGUCU
rnacentral:snoRNA from 1 species